GAUGAACGCUGGCGGCGUGCCUAAUACAUGCAAGUCGAGCGAACAGAUGAGGAGCUUGCUCCUCUGACGUUAGCGGCGGACGGGUGAGUAACACGUGGAUAACCUACCUAUAAGACUGGGAUAACUUCGGGAAACCGGAGCUAAUACCGGAUAAUAUAUUGAACCGCAUGGUUCAAUAGUGAAAGACGGUUUUGCUGUCACUUAUAGAUGGAUCCGCGCCGCAUUAGCUAGUUGGUAAGGUAACGGCUUACCAAGGCAACGAUGCGUAGCCGACCUGAGAGGGUGAACGGCCACACUGGAACUGAGACACGGUCCAGACUCCUACGGGAGGCAGCAGUAGGGAAUCUUCCGCAAUGGGCGAAAGCCUGACGGAGCAACGCCGCGUGAGGGAUGAAGGUCUUCGGAUCGUAAAACUCUGUUAUUAGGGAAGAACAAAUGUGUAAGUAACUAUGCACGUCUUGACGGUACCUAAUCAGAAAGCCACGGCUAACUACGUG
rnacentral:rRNA from 1 species